ACGAACGCUGGCGGCGUGCUUAACACCUGCAAGUCGAACGAAGAGCGAUGGAAGCUUGCUUCUAUCAAUCUUCGUGGCGAACGGGUGAGUAACGCGUAAUCAACCUGCCCUUCCGAGGGGGACAACAGUUGGAAACGACUGCUAAUACCGCAUACGAUCUAAUCUCGGCAUCGAGGAUAGAUGAAAGGUGGCCUCUACAUGUAAGCUAUCACUGAAGGAGGGGAUUGCGUCUGAUUAGCUAGUUGGAGGGGUAACGGCCCACCAAGGCGAUGAUCAGUAGCCGGUCUGAGAGGAUGAACGGCCACAUUGGGACUGAGACACGGGCCAGACUCCUACGGGAGGCAGCAGUGGGGAAUCUUCCGCAAUGGACGAAAGUCUGACGGAGCAACGCCGCGUGAGCGAUGACGGCCUUCGGGUUGUAAAGCUCUGUUAAUCGGGACGAAAGGCCUUCUUGCGAAUAGUGAGAAGGAUUGACGGUACCGGAAUAGAAAGCCACGGCUAACUACGUG
rnacentral:rRNA from 1 species